rnacentral:rRNA from 1 species
GGAUUGCCUCAGUAACGGCGAGUGAAGCGGCAACAGCUCAAAUUUGAAAUCUGGCUCCUUCGGGGUCCGAGUUGUAAUUUGUAGAGGAUGCUUCGGGUGUGGCUCCGGUCUAAGUUCCUUGGAACAGGACGUCAUAGAGGGUGAGAAUCCCGUAUGUGACUGGAAGCCUUCGUCCAUGUGAAGCUCCUUCGACGAGUCGAGUUGUUUGGGAAUGCAGCUCAAAAUGGGUGGUAAAUUUCAUCUAAAGCUAAAUACUGGCCAGAGACCGAUAGCGCACAAGUAGAGUGAUCGAAAGAUGAAAAGCACUUUGGAAAGAGAGUUAAAAAGUACGUGAAAUUGUUGAAAGGGAAGCGCUUGCAACCAGACUUGCUCGCGGUUGCUCAGCCGGUGUUCUCACCGGUGCACUCUUCCGCGAUCAGGCCAGCAUCGGUUUGGGCGGCUGGAUAAAGGCUUCGGGAAUGUGGCUCCUCUCGGGGAGUGUUAUAGCCCGGGGUGCAAUGCAGCCCGCCCGGAUCGAGGACCGCGCUUCGGCUAGGAUGCUGGCGUAAUGGUUGUAAGCGACCCGUCUUGAAACACGGACCAAGGAGUCUAACAUCUAUGCGAGUGUUUGGGUGUCAAACCCAUGCGCGUAAUGAAAGUGAACGGAGGUGGGAACCCUUCAGGGUGCACCAUCGACCGAUCCUGAUGUCUUCGGAUGGAUUUGAGUAAGAGCAUAGCUGUUGGGACCCGAAAGAUGGUGAACUAUGCCUGAAUAGGGUGAAGCCAGAGGAAACUCUGGUGGAGGCUCGCAGCGGUUCUGACGUGCAAAUCGAUCGUCAAAUUUGGGUAUAGGGGCGAAAGACUAAUC